GUAAGGAAUAUUGGUCAAUGGGCGGAAGCCUGAACCAGCCAUGCCGCGUGCAGGACGACGGCCCUACGGGUUGUAAACUGCUUUUGCCCGGGAAUAACCCCCCGCUCUUGAGCGGGGCUGAACGUACCGGGAGAAUAAGGAUCGGCUAACUCCGUGCCAGCAGCCGCGGUAAUACGGAGGAUCCAAGCGUUGUCCGGAUUUAUUGGGUUUAAAGGGUGCGUAGGCGGAUCUUUAAGUCAGUGGUGAAAGCCUGCAGCUUAACUGUAGAAUUGCCAUUGAAACUGAAGAUCUUGAAUGUGGUUAAAGUAGGCGGAAUGUAUCAUGUAGCGGUGAAAUGCUUAGAUAUGAUACAGAACACCGAUAGCGAAGGCAGCUUGCUGAACCAUUAUUGACGCUGAGGCACGAAAGCGUGGGGAGCGAACAGGAUUAGAAACCCUGGUAGUCC
rnacentral:rRNA from 1 species